rnacentral:rRNA from 1 species
AUGCAUGCUGCCAUGGGCAUUGAUGCAGUUAAGAACACAUUUAUAUUAACUGUUAAGGUGGGCAAAACAAUAGCUACUGCUUUGGUGGAUAGUGGUAGCACUUCCACAUUUGUGUCUCCUGACAUAGCUGCAAAACUACCUAUUGCACCUGUUCCCAACCAGAAGAUAAAGGUGCUAGUAGCUAGUGGUGGAGUCCUAUGGAGGGAGUUCACUUCUCACAAUUGCCCCUAUGAAAUACAAGGCAUACAGCUACAGGACACAUUCAGAGUUUUAAAGCUGAAGGGAUAUGAUAUCAUAUUGGAAGUAGAUUGGUUGAGAAAAUAUGGCCCUGUGCAAAUGGACUUCAUUAAAAUGGAGAUGAGAAUUAAUGCAACACCAACCACUCGGGCCACUUUUGUGGAUGAGACUGUUCCCUCCUCUUCCCCUGUGGAGAUCACAGAUGAUGCAGAAAAACUAAUGGAUCAAGCUGUCUGUGGAUUUUUCCUCCUGUCCACCUGUCACACUGUGACACAGGCUGCUGAUCACCCUAUCCCAAUGGAGCUCCAAGAACUCAUUCAGCAGUAUGACAAAUUAUUCAGUGCACCUACUGAAUUGCCUCCAAGAAGAGCUUGUGACCACAGAAUUCCACUAGUGGAAGGAGCUAAGGUUGUAAAUCAAAGACCAUACAGAGUACCCCAUCACCAGAAGGAAGCUCUAGAGAAAAUCAUUGCUGAGCUCCUCAAGGCUGGUCUCAUUAGGCCUAGUACUAGCCCCUUCUCUUCUCCUGUCCUCCUGGUCAAAAAGAAGGAUGGAACUUGGAGACUCUGUAUUGAUUACAGAAAACUGAAUGCAAUCACCAUCAAAAACAAAUAUCCCAUUCCAAUAAUAGAAGAUCUUCUAGACCAAUUAAAAGGAGCAACAGUUUUCUCCAAGAUAGACCUCAGAAGUGGAUAUCAUCAGAUAAGAAUGGCUGAAGAAGACAUCCACAAGACAACAUUCUCUACACUGCAAGGGCACUUUGAGUUUCUAGUGAUGUCUUUUGGAUUAACAAAUGGACCUCCCUCAUUUCAGGCUCUUAUGAACUUUUUGUUUGGCUCUUUUGAAUUUGUGGUAGUGUUCUUUGAUGACAUUCUAGUGUUCAGCACAACCAUGGCAGAACAUAAACUACACCUGAAGAAAGUAUUUCAAGUGCUGCAAGAGAAUCAUUUAUAUGCCAAACUGAACAAAUGUUCUUUUGGACAGUCUGAGAUAGAAUAUUUGGGCCAUGUUAUCAACAAGGAAGGUGUGGCAACAGAUCCUUCUAAAAUUGCUGCUAUCAAGGAGUGGCCAACUCCUAAAACUGUCACUGAACUCAGAAGCUUUUUGGGUCUGAGUGGUUACUACAGGUGA